CCCCACUUACAAAACAGCUCGCUCCUGAUUUGGCUGGUGCCUCUGGGUGGUACUGCGAUGCACACCGACAAAGAAGGAACAGAAGGGACCAUCUGUAGGGUGGUGCAAAAUGUAGUCAGAAGUCACAACACAGAAAGAGGAGGAGGAGGAAGAGAGAGAAAGAGAAAACUAAAAACCCUGAAGGAUGGUUCUCAAAAAUCCUAAAGGAACCACAGGGAAUUCCUUUUGAGCGCCACAGCGAGCCAGCCAGCUGAGAAAGGAUGUGAAGAAAUUCCCAAGCGUGAGAAGGUGUCUUCCUCCCUGCCGAAGAGCGCCGAAAAGAGCCGAGCUCUCCUCGGGGAGAGAGGAAAAGGCCAGCCUUUCUAAUGAACUACGAACAAGGCAACUUUUUCUUCAGUUUAUUAGUAGAAAUUUUGUAAAACUGUCAAAGGUUUUCAUGCAGGAGUA
rnacentral:lncRNA from 1 species